GACGAACGCUGGCGGCGUGCUUAACACAUGCAAGUCGAACGGUGAAGCGCCUUCCUUUUUGGUGGGUGUGGAUGAGUGGCGAACGGGUGAGUAACACGUGAGUAACCUGCCCCGUUUUUCUGGAUAACCGCAUGAAAGUGUGGCUAAUACGGGAUAUUCUGGGUCUGUCGCAUGAUGGGUCUGGGAAAGAUAUUGUUUCGGUGGGGGAUGGGCUCGCGGCCUAUCAGCUUGUUGGUGGGGUGAUGGCCUACCAGGGCGGUGACGGGUAGCCGGCCUGAGAGGGUGGACCGUCGCACUGGGACUGAGGCCCCGCCCCGCCUCCUACGGGAGGCUGCAGUGAGCACCAUCACAGAGUGCACGCAAGCCUGAUACAGCAGCGGCGCGUGAGGGAUGAAGCCGUUCCGGUUGAGAAUCUCUUUCGCCAGUGAAGGCGGCCUGCCUCGUUUGUGCAUGGGUUGACGGUAGCUGACUAAGAAGCGCCGGCUAACUACGUG
rnacentral:rRNA from 1 species